UAGACAGUGCCUAUUUAUGAGAAGAGGAAGUUUCAGAGACUUUUUGGAUGACUAAGACUCGAGAAACCUCUGGACUGUGUGGCUCCCUGAGUUGCUCCACAUGAAACAUCUACAGAUAUGGUAUUCAGAGGGUGGCAGCACAGAGGACACAUGGAAAAGACAGAUUUUGGCCCGAAAUAAGGAAGUGAUGUCAUCUGGGGAAAAGCAACCUUACCAGCUGCUGCAUGGUAUUUGUCCAAGAAGAUUAAAGGAGCAAGUGAUUUGGACUCCACAGACCUUAGAAACAGAUGGAAAGGUCUGGAACCCUGACACAAGAUGGAGACAUUGGCACUGGAUAAGCUGCCAUGGAAAGCUGCUGAUGGAGAGCACAUCCACUCUCAGUAAGCUCCUGUCUUACCCUCUCUUUCUCUUAGCACUCAC
rnacentral:lncRNA from 1 species